rnacentral:rRNA from 1 species
CCUACGGGUGGCAGCAGUGGGGAAUAUUGCGCAAUGGGCGAAAGCCUGACGCAGCGACGCCGCGUGAGGGAUGAAGGUCUUCGGAUCGUAAACCUCUGUCAGCAGGGAAGAACGGUCACUGUGCUAAUCAGCAGUGCAUUGACGGUACCUGCAAAGGCAGCACCGGCUAACUCCGUGCCAGCAGCCGCGGUAAUACGGCGGCUGCGAGCGUUAUCCGGAUUUAUUGGGUUUAAGGGGUGCGCAGGCGGAGGCACAAUUCCGCGGUAAAAUCGCGGGGCUCAACCCCGCUCCGCCGUUGAAACUGUGUCCCUUGAGUGCGGGAAGGGUAGGCGGAAUGCGUGGUGUAGCGGUGAAAUGCAUAGAUAUCACGCAGAACUCCGAUCGCGAAGGCAGCCUACCGGAGCGCAACUGACGCUCAUGCACGAAAGCGUGGGUAUCGAACAGGAUUAGAUACCCCUGUAGUC